AUAUGGCUGUCGCUCCCCCUUAUGUCUGAUGCUUAAGCAAGCUGCGUAUGCCUAAAUUACAAAACUAUAAUAUAAUCAUGUCUCGGAGUUUCCACGGUGAAGGGAAGUCCACUAAUAUUGUUGAUUCAAAUAUAAAUACUCUACGGCAGAGAAUAGAGCUACUAAGGAAGAAAGAGAAGUUGACCAACAUAGCAUACACACGUGAAAAUGGUUGGAAUUAUAUAUUGGAGUACGACAACAAAUGCAAGAAACCUUCCUUGGUAUUGCAGUUGGUUGAGCUCGCAGGUUUAGCAAGCAGCAACAUAGGAUUCGUUUUCCUAAGUGGUUCUUUCUGCAUCUUUCUUGUUUCCCUUAUUGUCCAUAAUAUAAAUAUCUAACAUGAAAUCGUAGGAAAUUGGAAAGAAGAAUUUGAACGAUGACUUUCUCUA